GGUAAUCUACUGACCCCUUAAUGAAAAUAUUGUGAUGGGACUGUCCCGGAAGAGAUCCUUAGAUUUUUCUAUAUUUCGAUAGUUUAUGAGUUUAAAAAGAUCUCCCAAAAAGUUUUUCCAAAAUUCAAAUUAUUUUCAAAAUUCCAUUACAAAAAAAAUUUUUUUUUUCUACAGUUUAUCAGAAUCCAAAGUUAAAGCUUGAUCAUUUUUAAUCCGCUAAUUGGCUUAUUAUUGCCGAUGAUAAAGUUGCUAGAUCGUACUCAAACAAUGGUUUUAAAGUUAAUGUUUCUAAAUUUUUUGGAUAUAAAUAACUUCGAACAACGUUGUCAAGAGCAACCAUGAAUAUAUUUAGGAUUUAGAAAGUAGUUAUGAAUAUAAAAGAUAAUGAAGUAUUCGUCAUUGUUCUUUAUUGGAUGACCACAGAGUGUAAUGAGGGCGACGAGGACGUAGCCUUUUUUCCCCAAAUUCAAAAGGAAUACAUUUUUUUGGAUUCAUUAAUGGCUAUUCCACUUUAUUUUUUUUUUUUUUUACAAAUGUUUUUAAUAAUUCAAAUAGCAAUACAAAAACUUAAACGACUAUGUUGUAUAUUUUUCUUACAGUGUUGACAACAUCUCUUUUAUCAACUCGAUCGAUAGCUUCGGUAAAAUUUCUGGAAUUUAUAUUUCACAGUUCAUGAUUAUUAAGGAAGCUUAACGCCGCAGUUGAGGUUAUGGGGGUGACCAAGUACCCCCAUAUAAUACCUAGUAGAUGCCCGAUUGUUUACGUCACAAAGCCACAGAACUAAAAAAUUUCUCUUCAACAAAUGAGAAUUUCGUCAGUCUGUUACGUCAAUAUACACCACUACUAUUUUGAUACUGCGAAAACUUAUAACCUGUGAGAACUUUUUCGGGUUGUCCUCUCAGAAAAAAUAUCUUUAAUUUUUGCUUUUCUCUUGUCGGUGGUUGUAACACUUCUUUCUUGUUUGAAAGAACCACAAAUAUUAUAUUAUUUUGCUGCUAAGCUUUUAUACGAUUAUUAUCUCUCCUUCCUUAUGUUUAACAGAAAUAAUUUUUAAAAAGGCACCUUUUUUGUCAGUCGUCUCGAGUACCAAGCUACUGCGAUGGUAACAUAUCGAUUGAAUGAGCUACCUGAAAUUUGUCUAAUUACUGUUUUGUUUGCUCUGGAUAUUUUGUUUGCUUUAUUAUAGCAUUGGGCUUGUCCGAGUUUCAAUCACAAUAUCUGUGUUGCGCGAUUUUUAAAGUAUAGUAUCACGUUCGAUGUGAAAUUUGUAGCAACUUUGACAAAAGUAUCGCGUUUUAGCUGUCAAAAAUUUUACUUUUGUUGUGUUUGCACAACUGAUAUGGAAAAUGAAAGACAAAUCUGUCCAAAAGUUCAUGUCAUGUCAUCCUUGUAUUACCCAGUGUCCAUAAUGUUAUAUACAUACAAGCUUUGCUCCAAUGAGUAUUUACCGAUCCUUUUUGAAAAAAACGUUCAGUCUUUAAUUUAUAUAAAUAAUCUUAUUAAUCAAGAUACGAAAUUUACAUUAAACGUUUCACGGGUAAUUUGAAAAUGGGUAAAAUGAAUAUCAUCUGGAUACAAUUUAAUGCUUUUGAGAAAAUAAAAUGUUUUCGUCACAUUCUCCUUUCACACAAUUCCUUCCACAUCCAAUUUCUUUUCUUUAUGCGCCUCAAUCUUUGAUUUGUCGUUUUCAAUAGUAAAUUACCCGCUAUUUCAAAAUUAUCCAACAAAAUUAUUAUGAAAAACUCUAUUACAUAUGUAUUUUGAUUUACGCAUUCAACUUCGGCAAUCUACGAGUAUGCAAAACAAAUGCCGAUUAUCAGAAAAGUAUCAACUGUAUAGUUGCAACAAUGUUGCAAACUUUCAUCAGUGCAGCAGUAUUCCCGUUUUUAUUACGUGCUUCGAACAAGCCCAUUCAUGUAUUCCAUUCAUUGUAUGUUAUUAAAGUGUCCAUACAUGACACACAAGUGCGUUCGAUCGGUAUGUGUUCGCAUGGGGUUUACUCGUGUAUGGGCUUGUGCGCGCACCGAUCCAUGUUCGCGAAAAUGUUUGUUUUUUUACGAUCGGUGUGCGCACAUGUGUGUCGUGUAUGGCGUUGUGCGCGCACAAAAUCUCAUUUCUCUCGAGUCGCCGAACAUUGAAGAUCGCGGACCAUGGCAAGUGUUAAGGAGAGAGCCUGCUUUAGAGGCUUCAAAGAUACGAAAUCUUUGAUAUUCUGCCUUUGGGAAGUAAUUGCCCGAUGCAUCUCGCAUGUGCAUUUUUUGGACGCGGGCAGGAUGCAGGUGGCAAUUUCUAUCGAAAACAAAAAAUUCAAAGAGAUUCAUAUUUUUUAAUAAUUUAUCUUCUAGUCAAACUAAGAAAAUUUCAAAAAAAAGUGUAAAAUUUUA